UACGUAGGUGGCAAGCGUUAUCCGGAUUUACUGGGUGUAAAGGGCGUGUAGGCGGGGAAGCAAGUCAGAUGUGAAAACCACGGGCUCAACCUGUGGCCUGCAUUUGAAACUGUUUUUCUUGAGUGCUGGAGAGGCAAUCGGAAUUCCGUGUGUAGCGGUGAAAUGCGUAGAUAUACGGAGGAACACCAGUGGCGAAGGCGGAUUGCUGGACAGUAACUGACACUGAGGCUCGAAAGCGUGGGGAGCAAACAGG
rnacentral:rRNA from 1 species